GGGUUGUGAGGUUAAGCGACUAAGCGUACACGGUGGAUGCCCUGGCAGUCAGAGGCGAUGAAGGACGUGCUAAUCUGCGAUAAGCGUCGGUGAGGUGAUAUGAACCGUUAUAACCGGCGAUUUCCGAAUGGGGAAACCCAGUGUGAUUCGUCACACUAUCAUUAACUGAAUCCAUAGGUUAAUGAGGCGAACCGGGGGAACUGAAACAUCUAAGUACCCCGAGGAAAAGAAAUCAACCGAGAUUCCCCCAGUAGCGGCGAGCGAACGGGGAGGAGCCCAGAGCCUGAAUCAGUGUGUGUGUUAGUGGAAGCGUCUGGAAAGGCGCGCGAUACAGGGUGACAGCCCCGUACACAAAAAUGCACAUAUUGUGAGCUCGAUGAGUAGGGCGGGACACGUGGUAUCCUGUCUGAAUAUGGGGGGACCAUCCUCCAAGGCUAAAUACUCCUGACUGACCGAUAGUGAACCAGUACCGUGAGGGAAAGGCGAAAAGAACCCCGGCGAGGGGAGUGAAAAAGAACCUGAAACCGUGUACGUACAAGCAGUGGGAGCCUCUUAAUGGGGUGACUGCGUACCUUUUGUAUAAUGGGUCAGCGACUUAUAUUCUGUAGCAAGGUUAACCGAAUAGGGGAGCCGAAGGGAAACCGAGUCUUAACUGGGCGUUAAGUUGCAGGGUAUAGACCCGAAACCCGGUGAUUCAGCCAUGGGCAGGUUGAAGGUUGGGUAACACUAACUGGAGGACCGAACCGACUAAUGUUGAAAAAUUAGCGGAUGACUUGUGGCUGGGGGUGAAAGGCCAAUCAAACCGGGAGAUAGCUGGUUCUCCCCGAAAGCUAUUUAGGUAGCGCCUCGUGAAUUCAUCUCCGGGGGUAGAGCACUGUUUCGGCAAGGGGGUCAUCCCGACUUACCAACCCGAUGCAAACUGCGAAUACCGGAGAAUGUUAUCACGGGAGACACACGGCGGGUGCUAACGUCCGUCGUGAAGAGGGAAACAACCCAGACCGCCAGCUAAGGUCCCAAAGUCAUGGUUAAGUGGGAAACGAUGUGGGAAGGCCCAGACAGCCGGGGAUGUUGGCUUAGAAGCAGCCAUCAUUUAAAGAAAGCGUAAUAGCUCACUGGUCGAGUCGGCCUGCGCGGAAGAUGUAACGGGGCUAAACCAUGCACCGAAGCUGCGGCAGCGACACUAUGUGUUGUUGGGUAGGGGAGCGUUCUGUAAGCCUGUGAAGGUGGCCUGUGAGGGUUGCUGGAGGUAUCAGAAGUGCGAAUGCUGACAUAAGUAACGAUAAAGCGGGUGAAAAGCCCGCUCGCCGGAAGACCAAGGGUUCCUGUCCAACGUUAAUCGGGGCAGGGUGAGUCGACCCUAAGGCGAGGCCGAAAGGCGUAGUCGAUGGGAAACAGGUUAAUAUUCCUGUACUUGGUGUUACUGCGAAGGGGGGGACGGAGAAGGCUAUGUUGGCCGGGCGACGGUUGUCCCGGUUUAAGCGUGUAGGCUGGUUUUCCGAGGCAAAUCCGGAAAACCAAGGCUGAGGCGUGAUGACGAGGCACUACGGUGCUGAAGCGACAAAUGCCCUGCUUCCAGGAAAAGCCUCUAAGCAUCAGGUAACAUCAAAUCGUACCCCAAACCGACACAGGUGGUCAGGUAGAGAAUACCAAGGCGCUUGAGAGAACUCGGGUGAAGGAACUAGGCAAAAUGGUGCCGUAACUUCGGGAGAAGGCACGCUGAUAUGUAGGUGAAGCGACUUGCUCGUGGAGCUGAAAUCAGUCGAAGAUACCAGCUGGCUGCAACUGUUUAUUAAAAACACAGCACUGUGCAAACACGAAAGUGGACGUAUACGGUGUGACGCCUGCCCGGUGCCGGAAGGUUAAUUGAUGGGGUUAGCGGCAACGCGAAGCUCUUGAUCGAAGCCCCGGUAAACGGCGGCCGUAACUAUAACGGUCCUAAGGUAGCGAAAUUCCUUGUCGGGUAAGUUCCGACCUGCACGAAUGGCGUAAUGAUGGCCAGGCUGUCUCCACCCGAGACUCAGUGAAAUUGAACUCGCUGUGAAGAUGCAGUGUACCCGCGGCAAGACGGAAAGACCCCGUGAACCUUUACUAUAGCUUGACACUGAACAUUGAGCCUUGAUGUGUGUAGGAUAGGUGGGAGGCUUUGAAGUGUGGACGCCAGUCUGCAUGGAGCCGACCUUGAAAUACCACCCUUUAAUGUUUGAUGUUCUAACGUUGGCCCGUAAUCCGGGUUGCGGACAGUGUCUGGUGGGUAGUUUGACUGGGGCGGUCUCCUCCUAAAGAGUAACGGAGGAGCACGAAGGUUGGCUAAUCCUGGUCGGACAUCAGGAGGUUAGUGCAAUGGCAUAAGCCAGCUUGACUGCGAGCGUGACGGCGCGAGCAGGUGCGAAAGCAGGUCAUAGUGAUCCGGUGGUUCUGAAUGGAAGGGCCAUCGCUCAACGGAUAAAAGGUACUCCGGGGAUAACAGGCUGAUACCGCCCAAGAGUUCAUAUCGACGGCGGUGUUUGGCACCUCGAUGUCGGCUCAUCACAUCCGGGGCUGAAGUAGGUCCCAAGGGUAUGGCUGUUCGCCAUUUAAAGUGGUACGCGAGCUGGGUUUAGAACGUCGUGAGACAGUUCGGUCCCCUAUCUGCCGUGGGCGCUGGAGAACUGAGGGGGGCUGCUCCUAGUACGAGAGGACCGGAGUGGACGCAUCACUGGUGUUCGGGUUGUCAUGCCAAUGGCACUGCCCGGUAGCUAAAUGCGGAAGAGAUAAGUGCUGAAAGCAUCUAAGCACGAAACUUGCCCCGAGAUGAGUUCUCCCUGACUCCUUGAGGGUCCUGAAGGAACGUUGAAGACGACGACGUUGAUAGGCCGGGUGUGUAAGCGCAGCGAUGCGUUGAGCUAACCGGUACUAAUGAACCGUGAGGCUUAACCUUACAACGCCGAAG
rnacentral:rRNA from 1 species